rnacentral:misc_RNA from 1 species
CAAAAUUUUACGUGAUUGCAACUUUACCGCUUUACGCUGUAUUCAAUCUCGUUCAAUAUCAAUCAUUGUGAACUGUUCACUGUUGUCGUGCAAGUUUGUCUUGUACCAGACGCGGUGUAUUUAUAUCAAUAACUAGACUAUUGAACCAUAAACUAAAAACUA